GCUUGUCUCAAAGAUUAAGCCAUGCAUGUUCAAGUAUAGCAAGUGUACAGUGAAACUGCGAAUGGCUCAUUAAAUCAGUUAUAAUUUAUUUGAUAGUGAAAUUGUACAUGGAUAACCGUGGCAAUUCUAGGGCUAAUACAUGCGUCAAUGGUCGGUCGACCAGUAUUUAUUAGAUACAAAGCCAGCCGUCAGGAUCAGGUGAAUCAUGAUAACUUAGCGGAUCGCAGAGGCCUCGCGCCGGCGACAAAUCAUUCAAGUUUCUGCCCUAUCAGCUUUCGAUGGUAGUGUAUUGGACUACCAUGGCAUUCACGGGUAACGGAGGAUUAGGGUUCGAUUCCGGAGAGGGAGCCUGAGAAAUGGCUACCACAUCCAAGGAAGGCAGCAGG
rnacentral:rRNA from 1 species